GUCAUAUGCUUGUCUCAAAGAUUAAGCCAUGCAUGUCUCAGUACAAGCCAAAUUAAGGUGAAACCGCGAAAGGCUCAUUAAAUCAGUUAUGGUUCCUUAGAUCGUACCCACAAUUACUUGGAUAACUGUGGUAAUUCUAGAGCUAAUACAUGCAAACAGAGCUCCGACCGGAGACGGAAGGAGUGCUUUUAUUAGAUCAAAACCAAUCGGUGGCGGGUUCGCGCUCGUUAUCGUACAACUUGGUGACUCUGAAUAACUUUACGCUGAUCGCACGGUCAUCGCACCGGCGACGCAUCUUUCAAAUGUCUGCCUUAUCAACUGUCGAUGGUAGGUUCUGCGCCUACCAUGGUUGUAACGGGUAACGGGGAAUCAGGGUUCGAUUCCGGAGAGGGAGCCUGAGAAACGGCUACCACAUCCAAGGAAGGCAGCAGGCGCGCAAAUUACCCACUCCCGGCACGGGGAGGUAGUGACGAAAAAUAACGAUACGGGACUCAUCCGAGGCCCCGUAAUCGGAAUGAGUACACUCUAARCCCUUUAACGAGGAUCAAUUGGAGGGC
rnacentral:rRNA from 1 species